rnacentral:lncRNA from 1 species
GAGAGAGAGAGAGAGUGUUGAGCUGGAAUACUAUCGGUAGCAAGCGGGCUCCGUUGCCACCCAUUUGUUUUCGAUGAUGGAGCCUCCAAAUUGAUGAUCGACACCGUUGAAUAUGAUCUAUACCACUUGAAGUAUCUAGAAAUCAAAUUUUAUGCUUUUCCGAUAUUGUUCUCUUGUUCAUCAAGUGGGCGUAAAAAUGAACGGCUGAAAAUAAAUAUCCUCUAAAAAAUGAUGAUAGGAAUUUUGUAAUCAAGAUCGAGAGUAUAGAUCUUAUUCUAAAUAGUUUAAAGAAUUUUCUAAGCAAAAUUCAAUUGAUUUGGAUAGCUUUACACCGUUAAACGAGAAAACGCCUUAUAUCUAUCAUUAAAAUUACAAAAUUUGAAACUCUUUGAUCAUUAGGUUAAUGAUGUCGAAAUGAUUUGAAAUUUGGUUUCUAGAUACUUCAAGCGGUAUAGAUCAUGUUCAACGGUGCCGAUCAUCAAUUUAAAGGUUCCAUCAUCGAAAACAAAUGGGUGGCAACGGAGUCAGUUUACUACCGAUAGCAUUCCAGCUCAACU